rnacentral:rRNA from 1 species
UACGUAGGGUGCGAGCGUUGUCCGGAAUUAUUGGGCGUAAAGGGCUCGUAGGCGGUUUGUCGCGUUGUUCGUGAAAACUCACAGCUCAACUGUGGGCGUGCGGGCGAUACGGGCAGACUGGAGUACUGCAGGGGAGACUGGAAUUCCUGGUGUAGCGGUGGAAUGCGCAGAUAUCAGGAGGAACACCGGGUGGCGAAGGCGGGUCUCUGGGCCGAUACUGACGCUGAGGAGCGAAAGCAUGGGUAGCGAACAGG